rnacentral:snRNA from 1 species
AGCUUUGCGCAGUGGCAGUAGCGUAGCCAACGAGGUUUAUCUGAGGCACAAUUUUUCCUAAUUGAAAACUCUUCUCAUUUUAGACCUUCUGAAUUAUGUAAAUAGUUUAUGAAAAGGUUAUAUCACUCAUGAU